UACGUAGGGGGCAAGCGUUGUCCGGAAUCAUUGGGCGUAAAGAGCGCGUAGGCGGCCCUGUAAGUCCGCUGUGAAAGUCGGGGGCUCAACCCUCGGAUGCCGGUGGAUACUGUCGGGCUUGAGUACGGAAGAGGCGAGUGGAAUUCCUGGUGUAGCGGUGAAAUGCGCAGAUAUCAGGAGGAACACCGGUGGCGAAGGCGGGUCUCUGGGCCGAUGACUGACGCUGAGGAGCGAAAGCGUGGGGAGCGAACAGG
rnacentral:rRNA from 1 species